rnacentral:rRNA from 1 species
UAAGGAAUAUUGCUCAAUGGGAGAAAUCCUGAAGCAGCAACGCCGCGUGGAGGAUGAAGGGUCUAUGACUUGUAAACUCCUGUAAAGAAGGAAAAAAUUCCCAUUAGAUGGGAGAUGAUGGUACUUCUGGAGUAAGCCCCGGCUAACUACGUGCCAGCAGCCGCGGUAAUACGUAGGGGGCAAGCGUUGUCCGGAUUUACUGGGUGUAAAGGGUGCUCAGGCGGAUUUGUAAGUCAGAGGUGAAAUCUUACAGCUUAACUGUGAAACUGCCUUUGAUACUGCAAGCCUAGAGUAUGGAAGAGAGUGAUGGAAUAUCUGGUGUAGCAGUGAAAUGCGCAGAUAUCAGAUAGAACACCAAUGGCGAAGGCAGUCACUUGGUCCAUUACUGACGCUAAAGCACGAAAGCGUGGGUAGCAAACA